CACCAAAUCCACCUCAAAUUCGCCACCAAAUGCCCCAGAUUGGCACCCAAACCCCGCACGCACCAAUUCAAAUCUGACCUCGCCAUUUCCACUCCCCCUCGACCCCCCCACCCCCCUCUCUGCAUUCCCCAGAUUCCCGCCGCAAUGGCGACCGCGCUCUCCAAAUCCGCCGUCAAAUCCCACCCCAGGUCGCCCACCACCGCGCAGCCGCCUCCGCCGCCCAACCCCGGCGCCGCGGCGGCCGGCGGGGGAGCGGCGGCGGCGGCGCCGUCGUCGGGGCCCGCCGCCGGCGCGAUGCCGUCGAAGAACGCGGCGAUGGCGGAGCUCAAGUCGCGCGUGCUCGCCGCGCUGGCGAAGCUCUCCGACCGCGACACCCACCACAUCGCCGUCGAGGACCUCGACCGCAUCAUCCGCGCGCCGCCGUCGCCCGACGCCGUGCCCAUGCUGCUCAACGCGCUGGCCUCCGACUCCCAGGGGCUCGCGUCACCCGCCAGGCGCGAGUCGCUGCGCCUCCUCGCCACGCUCUGCGCCUCCCACCCGGACGCUGCCGCGCCGCACCUCCACAAGGCGCUUGCCCACCUCGCGCGGCGGCUCAAGGACCCGGCCUCGGAUACCUCCGUGCGCGACGCAUGCCGAGACGCCGCGGGCCAGCUCGCGGCGGUGUACCUCCGGCCGCUGGCCGCUUCGGGCGUUGCUGAGGCGGGCAAUGCGACCGUCACGCUGUUCGUGAAGCCGCUGUUCGAGGUGAUGGGGGAGCAGAGCAAGGCAGUGCAGGGGGGAGCGGCUGCCUGCCUCGCCAAGACGGUGGAAGGGGCAGGGCCUGGGCCUGGUGUCAUCGGGAUGUUUGGGAAGCUCGGUCCAAGGAUUUGCAAACUGCUUGGUGGCCAAGGCGUGCAGGCGAAGGCAGCACUGCUGGGCGUCAUGGGAAGUUUGGCACAGGUUGGAGCAAUCAGCUCCCAGAAUAUGCCGCAAACUCUGCAAAGUAUUCGUGACUGUCUUGAGAACAGCGACUGGGCUACUAGAAAAGCAGCUGCUGAUACAUUAUGUGUCUUGGCUACCCAUUCAGGUCACUUGAUAGGUGAUGGGGCAGCCCCAACCAUAGCUGCUCUCGAGGCUUGCCGUUUUGAUAAGGUAAGGCCUGUUAGAGAUAGCAUGAUUGAUGCAGUACAGUUGUGGAAAAAGUUAACUGGAGAAGAUGCAAAUGAUGGUAGAAAUAAGGACCCAGCUGAUGGUGAAGGGAAGCUGGACACAAAAAGGUCAAUGCAAAGAAGUGGAAAAUCAGAAUCCUUUGAAGAUUCCUCCCCAGAUUCACCUAGUAACAAUGCGAAGGGCAGUAGCAUAGCUGAAAAGGCUGCAGUUCUUUUAAAGAAAAGAUCAACAUUAACUGACAGGGAACUGAACCCUGAAUUUUUCCAAAAGCUUGAGACAAGGAAAACAGAUGGCUUGGCCGUUGAGGUUGUAGUCCCCCGCAAGACUCUACAAUCUCAUUUGAGAAGUGAAGAACCAGAAGAAGAUGGUGAUCAUGUUGGUCCAGCUAACAGCAAUGGAUCAGCUGAAGACGAAGCAAAUCUGACUCAAAUGCGUGCUAGCUCUAAUUUUCAAAACAUUCGAGAUAGAUGGACUAACCAAAGGGGAAAUAGGAACAAAGAUGCAAAAGCUAGGGCAUCUGAUGUUGAAGAUAGGGGUGAACCCAGUGCAAAAGACACUAUGAACAUCCCUGGAGAAGGCCCAUUCAUAAAUAAUAAAACAAAUUGGUUAGCCAUACAGAGGCAGUUGUCACAUUUGGAGAGACAGCAAACCAGUCUCAUGAACAUGCUGCAGGAUUUCAUGGGCGGAUCUCAUGACAGCAUGGUUACUCUAGAGAACAGAGUGCGUGGUCUUGAGAGAGUUGUUGAGGAAAUGGCGAGGGAAAUAUCACUCUCUUCAGGCCGGAGAGGUGGUGGUCCAGCGCUGGGCUUUGAUUCAUCUCCCGGCAGAUCAUCUAAAUACAAUGGUUUCCAUGAAUAUUCUAAUUCAAAAUUUGGGAGGAGUGGUGAUGGACGGAUGGGAUUUGCAGAAAGGUAUUUUUCUGCAGAUGGUGCUUCUGGUUUAAGAAGCCCUUCUUGGAGACCAGAUUCUGAACAAUGGGACUACGCUUAUUCUGGAUCAAGAAGUGGUAUGAAUGCAAGAAGAGGAUUAGAUUCUGUUUCGUCUGACAAUAGGAUGCCAAGAAAUGAACGAAGUAAUGAUCAAGCAGGUCCUCGAAGAGGUUGGGACAAAGGGCAGGGACCCUUUAGAUUUGGUGAGGGUCCUUCUGCUCGCAGUGCUUGGCGGGCCUCAAAAGAUGAAGCAACACUGGAAGCUAUUAGAGUGGCUGGUGAAGAUAAUGGAAGUUCAAGGGCUGCUGCAAGAGUAGCUAUUCCUGAACUGGAUGGAGAAGCUUUGAAUGAUGACAAUCAAGGGGAUGAAAGAGGCCCACUUUGGGAUGCCUGGACCCGUGCAAUGGAUGCUGUUCAUGUUGAUGAUAUGGACUCUGCAUAUGCUGAGGUUCUUUCAACUGGUGAUGCCGAACUACUUGUAAAGUUGAUGGAGCAAACUGGACCAGUUGUUGAUCAACUUUCAAAUGAGGUUGCAAAUGAAGUCCUACAUGCUGUGGGGCAGUUUCUUGUGGAAGAAAGCUUCUAUGAUGUAGCCUUGACCUGGCUUCAGCAGAAUCCUGGCUUUUCAUUUGGUCUAGAAUGAAGGCCCAUCAGUUUUACUGGAUUGCUCAAGGUUGAAGGGAAAACUGUAGUGAAUUGACCGAUUUGGUAAUGGAAAACGGUUCUGAUUAUCUUGGGAUCCCUCUAGACGCGAAGCAAGACCUUCUACUGGGACUUCAUGAGGCUACAGCGAUCGAGCUGCCCGAUGAUUGGGAAGGAGCGACACCAGUGCAGAUAAUGAAGCAGCUGGCUUCAUCCUGGCGCAUCGACCUGCAACAGCUUGUCAAUUAGGGAUACAUUGGUUGUCGGCAUACCGAGUUAAUUUCAUUUCAUUUGUUCGUUGCUGCCUGUUCUUGCUUGGUCUAUUGCUAUUAGGAGUAAGUGUUAGAUUGGGCUGAGUGGAAGUGGCACUGUGUUGAAAUGGAUUGGUUGUCUUGGGAAAUAUGAUGUUGAUAUUUGUGUCACCUGGGUCAAAAAUCUUUCAUUAUUCAUAGUUUGAUUUUUGUCAUUAUACUGUAUAAUAUGGUCCUUUUCGAGGUGGUGCAUGUGGUGU